UACGGGGGGAGCAAGCGUUGUCCGGAAUUAUUGGGCGUAAAGAGCUCGUAGGCGGCUUGUCGCGUCUGCUGUGAAAACCCGAGGCUCAACCUCGGGCCUGCAGUGGGUACGGGCAGACUAGAGUGCGGUAGGGGAGAUUGGAAUUCCUGGUGUAGCGGUGAAAUGCGCAGAUAUCAGGAGGAACACCAGCGGCGAAGGCGGCGCUCUGGGCUGGAACUGACGCUGAGGAGCGAAAGCGUGGGGAGCGAACAGG
rnacentral:rRNA from 1 species